rnacentral:rRNA from 1 species
CAGUCGCCGCGGUAAUACGAAGGGUGCAAGCGUCACUCGGAAUUACUGGGCGUAAAGCGUGCGUAGGUGGUGGUUUAAGUCCGUUGUGAAAGCCCUGGGCUCAACCUGGGAAUUGCAGUGGAUACUGGGUCACUAGAGUGUGGUAGAGGAUAGUGGAAUUUCCGGUGUAGCAGUGAAAUGCGUAGAGAUCGGAAGGAACAUCUGUGGCGAAGGCGACUAUCUGGGCCAACACUGACACUGAGGCACGAAAGCGUGGGGAGCAAACAGGAUUAGAUACCCCAGUAGUCCCUGUCUCUUAUAC